AACUGGGGUUGAACCAUGCGGUUGACUGGUCACCUACGGUGAUGCAUCUUUUGGACCCAAUGCGCAUUUUAACUUUGAUUUACGAUCACCUGCACCCAACAAAAAUAAAAUAUUAAUGCAGCACUGUUAUUAUUAUUUGUUAGCAAUAAUGCUAAUUUAAGUAAUGUGUACAUCGCACUUUUGUGCUCUCAUCACACCCCCCAACUAGCUUAUUGCUAGUCUCUAGCAAUUAACAAGCAAUUGAUAAAAUGAGAGUACAAAAAGUGUUGGUUGGUCCUUUGAUGUUUUAUUAGAACUAAUUGCAUAAAAUUAAGAUAAGUACUCACUUUCGUAGGAAUCACGAUUGCAUUUAGCACGUGCAACAAGCCGUUAAACCCCUAGGUUACCCUAGUGGACGAGUGUUGUCUCGUGAGGGUUUUCAGGGAUGUUACCCACAAACAUCAUGAAUUAUAUGACAUGAGAUUCUAAUAAAAAUAAACCCUAAGCUAAUACACAUGUAAUUAAUUGACAUAUAUUUUCAAGUAUGGCAACCGUCAAAGCAAGAAAAUAUAAAAGUGAAGUGUGCAUCAAAUCGCAUGACUUUCCCAGAGUACUAAUACCUCCACCACAACAGGGCACCGCCUGAGUUUUAGGUGCACUACUCAAGUUCACAGUAUUUUCUACAAUUCGUUAGAACCUGAUCCAUCAAAUUUUCAGAAUAUCACAUGUUGUCUAAAUUUGUCAAGAAUGGUUCGCAUGUAAAGAAAGAGC
rnacentral:lncRNA from 1 species